AGAACGAACGCUGGCGGCAUGCCUAACACAUGCAAGUCGAACGAGACCUUCGGGUCUAGUGGCGCACGGGUGCGUAACGCGUGGGAAUCUGCCCUUGGGUUCGGAAUAACAGUUGGAAACGACUGCUAAUACCGGAUGAUGACGUAAGUCCAAAGAUUUAUCGCCCAGGGAUGAGCCCGCGUAGGAUUAGCUAGUUGGUGAGGUAAAGGCUCACCAAGGCGACGAUCCUUAGCUGGUCUGAGAGGAUGAUCAGCCACACUGGGACUGAGACACGGCCCAGACUCCUACGGGAGGCAGCAGUGGGGAAUAUUGGACAAUGGGGCGAAAGCCUAGAUCAGCAAUGCCGCGUGAGUGAUG
rnacentral:rRNA from 1 species